CGUACCUUUUGUAUAAUGGGUCAGCGACUUAUAUUCUGUAGCAAGGUUAACCGAAUAGGGGAGCCGAAGGGAAACCGAGUCUUAACUGGGCGUUAAGUUGCAGGGUAUAGACCCGAAACCCGGUGAUCUAGCCAUGGGCAGGUUGAAGGUUGGGUAACACUAACUGGAGGACCGAACCGACUAAUGUUGAAAAAUUAGCGGAUGACUUGUGGCUGGGGGUGAAAGGCCAAUCAAACCGGGAGAUAGCUGGUUCUCCCCGAAAGCUAUUUAGGUAGCGCCUCGUGAAUUCAUCUCCGGGGGUAGAGCACUGUUUCGGCAAGGGGGUCAUCCCGACUUACCAACCCGAUGCAAACUGCGAAUACCGGAGAAUGUUAUCACGGGAGACACACGGCGGGUGCUAACGUCCGUCGUGAAGAGGGAAACAACCCAGACCGCCAGCUAAGGUCCCAAAGUCAUGGUUAAGUGGGAAACGAUGUGGGAAGGCCCAGACAGCCAGGAUGUUGGCUUAGAAGCAGCCAUCAUUUAAAGAAAGCGUAAUAGCUCACUGGUCGAGUCGGCCUGCGCGGAAGAUGUAACGGGGCUAAACCAUGCAC
rnacentral:rRNA from 1 species